rnacentral:miRNA from 1 species
CUUCAAAGUCAACGUUGCAUCC